CGCAUGGCUGACAUCCACUCGCAGAACGAGAUGCCAGCCCCUUCUCUCUGCACACCCAGUGCUUGGUAGGGUUUUCUUGGAGACUUUCUCUCCCUUUCUUUUUGAGAAGAUUCCCCCAAAGAGAGAGCGAGGAAAUGGUUGGAAGUGUGAGUCUUGCACUGGGGAAAGUCCAAAGCAGUGUCAUGCACCUGGCAAGGAGAGGAGAAGAAAAUGUUGUCUCAUAUUAUUGAACAAGUGCGUACACACCAGGAGGACCACUUUGAAUCAGGUUUGAGCCAAAUCAUACUUAACAAAGGUGGCCCGGGGAAGGGGUGGGCACCAAGAGACAGAAGCAUCCCAUGAAGCACAAGCCCAGCAGAAUCAGUUCUCACCCCUGUGACCCAGGCAUUAUACCCGCGACGCCAGCACAGACACAGCUGUUACUUACUGCUGUCCUUGCCUGGAGCAGCUGAAUGGCUUUCACCUAAACCAUAGAGAACAUCCUUGGUAAGUGCAUUCAAAAUCGCCACUGUGUUUAUGUCAUAAAAGGGAGGUAUAAGGAGACAUUACUUAGAUUAGAAUUGCUCUUUGCUUGUCUAGUGAAAUUAUUACAUAAUUAACAUUCUUGUUCCCGUAAGAGUUUAUUCUGCACAAUAGAAUGUUUUGAAGAAAAGCAAUGCCGAACUUUGGUUUCAUUUGACACAUGCCAAAGCUCUAGUGUAAACCUAGAGUAGGAGAGCAAUGCAGAGUCCCUAACUCUGGGGCGCAGCAGGUACAAAACAUUUAAAAACUUCCAAUGUCUGAAAAAUUGCAUAUUAAAGAUUCCUAAGCCAGGCGCAGUCAAGAAUUCUACAGCCAGACUAUUUACAGUAAGUCCCCUACAUACGUGUGAGUUCGGUUCCGAGAGUGGGUUUGUCCAAUUCGUUCGUUAAGUCCAACAAAGUUAGCCUAGGUAGCCAACUAACACAAUUGGCUAUAUAGUACUGUACUGUAAUAGGUUUAUAAUACUUUUCACAUAAAUAAUACAUAAAAACAAACAAAAAAUAAACAUUUUUAAUCUUACAGUGUAGUACCUUGAAAAGUACAGUAGUACAGUACAACAGCUGGCACACAGGGGCUGGCAUCGAGUGAACAGGCAAGAAGAGUUACUGACUGGGGGAGGGAGAGGAGGCGGGAGACGGUAGAGCUGAAGGGUCAUCAGCAAUAGCAGACGGAGGGCGAGGUUUAAUUUCACUCACGCCUGAUGGUGAGGGAAUGCACGGUCGCAUCUUUGAAAGUUCACAACUUGAAGGUUCGUAUGUAGGGGACUUACUGUACAGCAUAUUAGUCAACGUCUGUGUUUAAAAAAAUCAUUCAUAAAGUGAUUUAAUAUAUCAUCUCUGCUUAAAAACUGCAGCAUAUCAUUAGUGAAUAACUAACUUCGGAGUGCACUGAAAAUGAAAACUUCAUUUUCAAUUUUAAGAAUGAAAUACAAUACCAAUUUAACUAUUGCUUAAAUACCUGGAAAGUCAAACUGUCUUUCCUAGGUAGGUUUUCCAUUUGGGCGAAACCGCGCACAUGAGAGGUAGCAUCACCCACAGAGGGACUAUUUUAUGGCAAUCAUAGCACUAAAGCACAUUGGCUGGUAUAUACUGUAUAAAUCACAACAUCAGAGGGGUUCCUGACCUUGGCAUACUGGAAGUCCCCAAAACACAGCAGAUCGGGUAACCCUGAAGUGCAAAGAUAAUUCUCUAUAGGAAGGAAUCACUAUCGUGGUGUCUUCCUUGAUGGGAACAUUGGUGGAAGGCAGUUAUCACGUGCAGUCCUGGGUGGGGUUGGGUUAAACUUGACAGAAACGGCAGCCGAGGUGCUGAGGGCAAAACCAGAGAUGUGGUAACAGAAGAGUGAGACAGUGCAGGCAGCAUGUGGUCAUAGCCAUCCCGAGGAGAGAGAUUCCAAUAGCCUGCCUCAGGAAGCAUCGCCUGUGCAUUCAAAGUCGUCUUCUAGCUUAGCCUUUGUGAACAUACACUCACGGGGCUCCAGAGAGCACUCGGCACCGUGCGCAGCUGCACGGGUGUUGACGGUGAACAGCAGAUGUGAGCAGGCCGGUGCCGGUGCCGCAGGCAGCCCGGGCUGCAGCCGUCGGCACGGCGCUGCAUCGCUGCAUGCAGGGGUGCUCUGGCCCCAGCUCCCCAGCUGCAGCACCAAGCUUACAGGAGGGGCUGCGGUAUCGUCGCCUUGGCGGGGUGGCCGAGGUGCAGCUCUGCAGUAACUCUACGCCCACCUGAUCCCUCCCUUCACACGAAUGUGGUCUCUGCCCAGAGCACACGAUCGAGCCCCCUUUUCUGCUUUCUCCUCCUCCUCGUGCUGUCAGCGUGACUGGCACCUCUCCCCUGCCCCCUCGCCCAGCUAAACUGGGGCGGCAGAUCCCUGUUUUUAAUCGUUAUCUGUGCACUUAGGUGCUAGACCUUACUUAUUAGGGUGUCCAACCCCUGCCUUUUAUAAAGGCUAUGAAUAGCCAGAGAGUUAGGAAAGUGCUUAGAAUUGCUUCCUUAGAUUAACCGUGGCGCCCUGGGCUGUGUCUGUAACGUCUGAAAGGUCAGGGACAUCUGAGAGCCCACGUGCCUGUAAACAAGUCUGACUAUUAGGUGAAAAAGCCAACGCACUGUCCAAAGGAAGGAACCAGACCGCGUUCUGCCUCUUCCUUUAGCUUCCAGCAAGCAGCUGCUCUCCGGGCCUCUUCUUCCCAUACACCAGCUGAGUGGGAAGAAGUAUUUUUACCCCUCUCUCUCCUUCCCACUUCGCCAUGCCAGGGAUGCGUCAUUUCUUUCUUUACCCCUCUGGUGAAGCUGUUGGUUAAUAAGAGCUGGGGGAGGGGUGGGAGUUCUGAUCUUCAGGGCCCUCGGGUCUUGUGUGGAAAGUGAGGGGUCCUUCUCUGGUCCAGCUCAAACGUACCGACAGCCUCUGAGCACCCAAGUUCUGCGUUUAGUUCUGCUGAGUCUUUUUUCUUUCUUCUCUCUUCUACUAUCUUAAUGUGGAAGUGCUAGCUUCCCAGAGGAAACACCCCAGCCAGGAAGUGGAUACGGGAGAGAAGUAAGGGAUGCUGGGGAGGAAGUAAGGGUGAUGAGAAUGGAGACACCAAACACAGAGGUUUGCAGCCUUAACCCGCAUGAAGACGACACGAGGAGCUUGCAUAAAUUCAGAUCCCCAGAUCUCCCCGCCUACUUGAAUUUGGAUUCAGUAGCUCUAGGAUGGAAGUACUGGACCCCAGAAUCUACAUGCUGGCGCCCUGAUAAUAUCAUAAAACGGUUCUCACUGCCUUGCGUUUUUAAAGCAUGUCGUAGGAUGCUGCUUGACUGUCCAGGAAGAUAGUACUCACCCAUCAGCUGUACGGGUUCACAGGCACGUCUGGAGGUCCCGAUAAGGAACACGGUGCUUGCACGGUGCUACCACCGAAAACUAACCGGGAGAAUUCGAGAGGGGCGGAAAGGAGGGAGGAGAUGCCAGCCCAUAACAUAUCCUGCCAACCUCCCAGAAUCCUUCUUGCUGGAAUCCAUCUUGGCUGAGAGAGGCGCAUGCCACCCGGAAGGAUGCUGAGUCAGACCAGAUAUGGGCAACAAGCAAGAUGACUGGCCAGAGACAACCCGGAAACUAACCCCAUUACCAUAAAACCUGAGACUGUGAGCCACGUGCCAGAGCAGUUCUCCUGGGUUCCCUUACCCCACGAUCUCCGCCCAGGCGCCCCUUCCUAGUAAAGUCUUUUGCUUUGUCAGUACGUGUGUCUCCUCAGACAAUUCAUUUUUGAGUGUUAAGAGCCCACUCUUGGGCCCUGGAAGGGGUCUCCCUUCCUGCAACAAAUCUAAUGCUCAUUGCUUAAUACCCCCUCCCACCACCAACUGCUAUGAAGCACACAGACAAGGCAUUCAGGCCAAGAGUAGGUGGCUGAUGGUAGAAAUGGAAUUGCCAUUUACCCAGCCACUUCUUUCAUUCUUCUUCACUUGCAGAGAAAAUGCCUGCCCUGGUCGUUCCAGAGUUUAGUUCCCUCAUUCUCCACUCUAGCCUGCAUUGUGUACCACCCGGACUGGGAUGCUGGAUAAAGAUGAGAUGCUGAAUAAAGAUGCUGAAUAAGGAUGGGUUUGUCUUUGUAUCUGCAGGAGGCGAACUACCCAUGUAAUCCAGGGCUAUUAUUGUAAAUAAAAUUUCCCACUUUUCAAGCAGAUAUUUAGCAUCUUAUAACUUUUGUAUCAACUUUGUGUCGUAUUCUUGGUUACAUUUAAAAAUUAAAACCAACAGAAACAAAACAGUAAAAUAAAAUACUCACUAAGUCCUAAAUACUGCCACCCCAACACACACACACAAUCUUCCAUUAUUUUUACAUUUUUCUUUGCUUUAGAUCACCCGUGCUUAGUCUCAGUCUGACAAUAAUUUUAUGGGAAAAAUUAUCUUCAGCUUUGAAAGAUAGAGCAACUCCUAUAUUUUCCAUAUACUGUUUAAACAGCUAUGAUUUAAAAAAACCAAACUUUCCACACCAGUUUAUUUUUUCCUCUUCUCGUGACUAACCUAAGCAUCCUUCUUAAUUGCAAAUAUAUUAAAUGAUAGUCAUGACUGAGGUACAUAGCUAAUUUGGGUUUAUUGCCUUCUUACAUGCAUAACAAACGAGCUUUGCAAGUUGGUAUGAUUACGUUUCAAGACCCAUAAACUAUUCAUUUUAUCAUAACUGUAUUGUCAAUUUUGAGUUAAUUUAUUUAAGAAAAUUCUGCUCAGUGCUCUUAAGGACUCUAUCUCAGGACUGGGCAUGGAAAAGGGUGUCAAUUAACUCUUUAUUGGUGGGUUGAUCAUGGAAAGAGACUCUGCCAUUCAUGGGCCCUGGUGGUUACUCAGCACAAUAAAAAAUGCUGACACCAGCUGUUCUGGUGAUAAGAGAGUCAUUCUGAACUUGUAAGAAUUAGAAAUGGCUAAUUAUUCCAGAUAAAAAAUUUUAAAAGCAACAUUCGGUUUAUUUUAAACAUUUCACAUGUCAGGCAAUCAGGUAAUUUGUUGAGUACCCUCAUCAUGCUUGGCGUUGCACUAACAGCCAAUGGGUGAUUAAAAAAAUGGCAUAAGAGCUCUUCUUUCAACACUGUUUUAAAGAAUCUAUUUUUAUUUUGUUGCCAUUUGCUUGGAUUAGUUUAAACAUUCUUUGAAUUUAUUUUCCUUACAUUACUGAUGUGUUCCUUUAUUCCAGCUGAAAUUGGCUCUAUUUCCCAGAGUUUAAAUCUUCUUGACAGUUAUUGAUAAUGCCAUUUCUCUACCCAGUGAAUCACUUCACCCAGGACAUACUUAAUUCCUUUAAGCUUUUCUCUUCUUGCUUUCUUCUCCUCCUCCAUCUUAACCAAAUUCUGAUUACUGAGCUCAUUACAGUUUGUUUCCGGGUGUCUUUUAACAUGUAGCGAAUCUGAAAUGUUUUCAUUGAAGCAGGGAAAUUGCUACCUUCCUCAUUCAUCCCACUGCUACCGAUUUUCAAGCCCUAAGAAUUUAUCUCCAUUUUGAAGAUACAUCAUGGCAAAGGAGGACACAAUCACUGAUUAUUUUUAAGUUUGGAUGGCUUAAAACUAGCUUAAAACACCUCCUUUUUCUCCAGAUAAACUUAAAAUUUGGUGCUACUUUCUUCAAUUGAUUCACACUUGUAGUGUCUUAUGUCUUCAAAAUUCAUAUUAUAGACCCUGUUCAAUUCUCCAAGUACGAAUAAGGUUGUCAGGCAGCUUCAAGACUGCAAUCAAUGAGUAAUACAUAAAGAGUGCAACGAAUAAGUUAAUUUAUGGAAGGGCUCUCUGGUGAUGAAAAGAAUUAAUGAAGUUUCCAAAGGUGCCCAAUUUGUAAUCUGGGGAGAAUCUGAUGCUGAGAGAUCUUGACUUCAAGCCAAAGAAACAAAGACUACAGACCUACGAAAACCGGAGAGGGAGAGAAUUAUUAUCUAACUCAGAGAUUGCAAACAGCAGAACUCCAAACUUCGUCUGGCCUACAGAUUGUUUUUGUUUCUUUAACUUUGGUUUUGAAUGCUUUUAGGAAAGGCAAGCUGAUCUGUCCACCACACUUCCCACCAUCAACACUGCCCGACCCCUGAACCCAUUCACGCAUUUGUAUUACCCGCCUGGCACCUCAAGGCAUUUCAGUCUGUGACCCAGUUUUCACAGUAAGGAAAUGAGAAAACUGUGGAGGUGAGUGAUUUGUUCAAGGUAACCGAUGAGCAGUGUGUUUCAUACGCGGGUUACCUCACCCACAUCCUGACUGUCCGUCUAGAAUCCUUUGUACUUCAGCCUUGGUUAUAUUAGUCUGAGAUUAAAGUCAGAACCAACUAAAAAUCUAUGAAUGAAAUCACAAAAGUAGUUUAGAAGAAGGAGUUAUGAAAAGGAAGCUUAGUUCAGGAGGUGGAGUAAUUUAACCAAGCUGAAGGAGAAAGCUGGGUUUUGUGUCUUAUACUCAACACCCUCCCCUACACACACACACACACACACACACACACACACACACAGGGUUUAUUGCUUAUUUUGCAAAAUGAAGGGAACAGCCUGUGAAAGGUGAUUAAGUUAUGGCAUUUCUUUCUGUAAGCAAAGAGUCAAAAUUGCCAAAUAAAUUUGUAGAAGGUGCUUGCCUUUAAAAUGCCAUUGAUCCUUCAAAAGAACAACCCAGUAAACUAACAUACAUUAGUAAAAUCUUACGGCAUGCUCAGAAAUUAUUUUCUAUUGCUAUCAUAUCACUCAUGCAAGAUUUCCUUAUGUCAGUACGUCUUCAUUUCAAAAAGACCAUUGGGGUAGGUGAAAGAGGCAACUGUGCUUCUUAACCAGUCAUGCCAUUAAUGCAGUAAGCAAGCUCCACGAUUACAUAAUAGGAACAUAAAAGGGAACAGAGAAAGGUUUAGUUUGGGGAAUUCUGGGCUCCUUGCACUUUCUGACUCAGAGCUAAACAUUCGUUAGGAGAACAAUGCUUCUGGUGGUUUUCUAAGACAUUUAGAAUAAGCCAUUAACAAUUAGGGCAGGUGACCACAGAAUGAAGGGCGAGGUUCAGAUUGGUAAUUAAAAUACACUGCAGCAACAUGGAUGGACCUAGAGAGUAUCAUACCAAGUGAAGUAAGCCAAACAGAGAAAGACAAAUAUCAUAUGAUAUCCCUUAUAUGUGGAAUCUAAAAAAAUGAUACAAAUGAACUUAUUUACAAAACAGAAAGAGACUCACAGACAGAAAACAAACUUAUGGUUACCAAAGGGGAAAGGUGGAGGGAGGGAUAAAUUAGGAGUUUGAGAUUAAAAUACACGCGCACUACUAUAUAUAAAAUAGAAAACCAACAAGGAUCUACUGUAUAGCACAGGGGACGAUACUCAGCAUCUUGUAAUAACCUAUAAUGGAAGUCAGUGUAAAGAAUAUAUAUAUAUAUAUUUACACAUAUGUGUAUGAUUGAACCACUUUGCUGUACAUCUGAAACUAUCACAU